UUUCUCAAAAUAGAUCUUUUUUAAAAUGAAUGAAUGUGCUCUAUUCUGACUGCAAAGUUCUCCCUCUUUUGAAACUUGUCAAAGUCUGCUGUGCACUGCAGGCAAGGACCUGCCAUGGAUGCUAAAAUUGGGGGCAAAAGUGUGAUAGGAAAUACGGUAUUUGCAUAGUCUCAAAGGUACUUAGUGGUUACAGUAGGACAUAGUCACUCUCAAGUGGAAAACCUGGAAGACACCACUCUAUUCAAGACGGAAGUCACCGUCCCCCGUGAGAAGACACGCGGAUACCAGGUACCCUUGAUGCAGAGCACUGAGAGGACACAGCGUCACUGUGGUGAGAAAAAAGCACACAGCAUCUCCGAGGGCCCCAGAGACACGGGCAGCCGGUUUAGAUUUCCAAGUCGGCAUGACCGUACGGAAACUGAACCAGAAACCUGACUCAUGGCCCAACACCCCACGCAUCCAAGGUGCACCUGCUUUGUGAACGACUGAGCUGAAGGGAAACCAUCUUGCCCUAGAGAUUCCACAAGAUGCAAAUAAAAAAGCACAUAACCCUGCAAAAGCUAUUCAUUCUCCAGAGUGUAACUUGGGCUCAAAGAAAACUCUUUCUGACUUUGAUUCUCAAAGUUGGCUCAUUUUGCAUCAAUAGUUUUCUUCCUGACCCCAAACCACAACAUCAACCCGAUCAGGAGGAAACCCCCCCCCCAGCCCCAAAGAGAACCGGUCCUCAAAAAACGGUGAUCUAUACUCUUUAAAGGGAUCAAGGUCCUGAAAAACAAAGGCUGAGAGACAGACUGCACAGCCGUGUGGGAGAGGCGGGACCAGAAAGAUGACUUUACUGAGACAAUGGUGAGUGAGUCAGUCCUGUGGGUCAGCGCGUGUGUUAUAAAGCAAGAUUCACUUCUUGCUUCUGAAAACUGCUGUCUCUGCUCCGUAUAGUGCCAACAUCUGGGAAAAGUUUGCGCAAACUGUGCUAUCUUUGGAACCUAAACUUAUCUCAGAAUAAAAAGUUUUAAGUGCUAGAAAAGAAAAAAAAAAAGCCAGCCAGGAACGUGGGGAAUGGAUGUCUUCAUCUCGUACACACAUCACCCCGUCACGUCUGCCCCACAGAGGCGAAGCCGGGUGUGUCUGUCCGACCACACCCAGGACUGUGUCCGGUGCUGACGGUGUGGAGGACAGCUGUGAACAGCUCAGUAGGUACAAAUCAGGAACAGAAGUAUGCUUAUUUACUCCACAGAUAAUAAGGGCCAUUGUAUUUCCAUACAGUAGCUCAUAGAGCCACUUCUCACCCUUGUCCUGCUGUGAAGGCAGAAAAAUCCCUGUUUCUGGAUCCUGUGUGUUGCUCCCUCCACAGACUCUAGGGGAGGACCCUUCCUGCCUCCCCCAGGCUCCCGACACGCCGUGGGUACAGGUGGCCUCUCAGCCAUCUCUGCCUACCCCCUGUCCACUGAGUCUUCACCUGCUGUCCUCUUUGCCUUGCCCUCGGUCUCCCAGUUUUCUUACAAGGGCACCAGCCAUUGGAUUUAGCCCCCCCCCACCCCAUCCCCCUAGUAACCUCUCUUAACUAUCCACAGGUGCCAAGACCCUAUUUCCAAAUUAAUGGCUCCUUCCCAGGUUCCAGAUGGUCGUGACUUUCAGGAGACACUAUGGAUCCCACUACCGAAGGGGGGAGGAAGAUAAAAUCAGUAACGUCUCAUGAGUGGUUACUCCGAGCCUCAGACUCUGCAUCCGCCUUUAGCAAACCCUAAAACAGUGCUGCAAGGGAGGUGCAACGGCGAAGACCGGACCCACUGUUGCCCGUCUGCCUGCAAGGACACAGACGUGGAGCAGACGUGGAGAGAACCACUGGGGUGCCCAGGGCAGGUGCAUCAGGAACACAAGCACAGACAGACUAGCUCUGGGAGCAGGUGUGGGUCACCAAUGAGGGAAGAAAGGAGCUGAGUACCUCGCUGCGGAAGAAGGAACCCUUCGACAUGGAGGAAAAAGCCCCUUGCCUUCCCCACGCCAAGCAAACCAGACACUGCACAGCUGUGGAGUCACAGAUGUCAGGCGCAAGUGUUGUCCAAGGUCUUGGCUCUAAGAGACGUGAUACUCGGUCUUUUUCUCUGGCUCCAGCAAGAUGAGAACCCGCAGCGUGAAGGAAGGAGAGAUAAUGCCAGCCUUUUGCAGUGACUUUGGAUAGAAAAAGUGAGGCUAAUUGUGGGAGAGAUUUAAGUUAGUGUACUAAUUAGAGAUAGCAUAGUAAUAGCACUAUAGCUCGCCCUGGGGCUGGAAUGCUGUCCCAAACAUGUCGCACUGAUUAACUCAUUUACUCCUUAAAAAAAAAAAAAAACCAAAACCUCAAAAGCCCUGGAGAUUGCCUCCCCGCAGAGAAGGCCAGAGAGAGAUGUCCCGCAGCCAGUCCCAUGCCGCACAGCCCAUAGGAGGGAGGUGUGCCUCUGUGCCCGGCAUUUGGCCUCCAAGUCUGCUCUGGGGCUGCUUGCAAACAUCUAUGUGGUCCCAGACCUGCUGCAGGAGGAAACCGCGGCUGCAGAGAGCAGGAUCAGAGACGGACUCCACGGAGGGUCCGUGGCCACACCAUGUAUGUGGGACCAGAGAACUCUGACCCACAACCUCUACACGACCAUCUGGAAGCCACACCGUGGCCCCAGGGCGGGACCCGUCAGGAGUUGGCCGUGACUGCCCACUUCUCUUCCCCUCCUAACUCGGGACAGCCGUCCCUGAAAUCAACCCCACAGGAUGCCUGGCUUGUGAGCCCGCCCACAGUGUCCAUGGAGCUCACCGCACCUUCCUUCUCUUCCGUGACAAAGCUGCCCCCAUCCUGGCCUGCUGUGGGUCUUUGCCCAUCCCCGGGGCUGCCGGGGGCCAGCUUUGUUCGCUUUCCUUCGGAUUCUCUUUGCUUAUCCUCCCGGGUGUAGCCUCCUGUCCAUAAAAUCGCAGCGCGUGAGGACCGGGGUCCAGCAGGGAGAGAGCGUGUCAGACCCAAGGAGGCAUGUGUUGUAA